AAUACGUUCCCGGGCCUUGUACACACCGCCCGUCACACCACGAAAGUUGAUUUCACCAGAAGUCGCUCAGGCGCCCAAGGUGAGGUCGAUGAUUGGGGUG
rnacentral:rRNA from 1 species